UCUUAACACAGUUAUCUUCUACUAUCCUCCACCUACCUCCUCGUCAACAUCUGAUUCUCCUAACUUUCAAGUAUAUCUUGCACGUGUGCCUUUCUCCACAUGUAUCCAGCUGUAUUAGUCUGUUCUCAUGCUGCUAAUAAAGAUAUAUCUGAGGCUGGGUAAUUUAUAAAGAAAAAGAGGUUUAAUGGACUCACAGUUCCACAUGGCUGGGGAGGCCUCACAAUCAUGGUGGAAGGCGAAGGCAAACAAAGGCAUGUGUUACAUGGCAGCAGGCAAGAGAGCGUGUGCAGGGGAACUGCCCUUUAUAAAACCAUCAAACCUCAUGAGAUUUAUUUACUAUCAGGAUAACAGCAAGGGAAAAACACGCCUCCAUGAUUCAAUUACCUCCUAUUGGGCCCCUCCCACCAAACGUGGGGAUUAUGGGAGCUACAAUUCAAGAUGAGAUUUGGGUGAGGGCACAGCCAAACCACAUCACCAGCUGUUCCCAUUCCCCUUCUGUAUUGUCUUCUCCAAAUUAACACCACUUUUCAAGGCCUGGCUCAAAUGUCACUGUCUCCAGGUGCCUUCCCAGGUUUUUCUCAUGAGUUUUUUCCUCUGUGCUUCCAGUGUUCUUGUUCCCAUUACUAUUUUAUCUCAGUAUAUUUAGCCUUGUAUUCAAAUUUUAUUUUAAACUUGCCCGUCUCCUCAUUAUUAUUAGGGCUUGUGUUGUUUUAUAUUUCUAUAAAUUGUAUUACCUUUCAUAUUGUGUUUUUCCUAUUGUACUUCUGAACAAAAUAAUGUUUCACUGUUGGUCAAAAUUAAUAAUUCAUUGAAAUAUACCAAAUGAACGCAUACAAAAUACGCUUGUAGGUUUAAUUAGAUCUCUGAAUAUAGCAGACCCAGACCCAGUCACAGUGUGAUUUUUGCAAUAUGAAUUGCAGUUCUUAUUGCAUAGAUCAUUCACUAUCAGAGCAAGUCUGUUGAUUUAUGUUGAAUUUUAGAAUCCAUGAAUAUGCAUAUAUUACAUAUUGAGGUUAAAACAAAAAUCCUUAAUAGGGAAUUAAGACAGGAUAUUUGUGAAUGUUUCAUGGCUAAACGGGACUAUGAUAAGCUAUGCCAAUAUAUAUUUUCAAAGUAAGCAGAAAAACAGGAAAAGAAACCUAAUAUACAGGCAUUUUAGACACAUAAUUUAGCCUUAGGACAAGGUUCUGAAGCAAACAACACAAAGUUAAAUGCCUCUAAGAGGUACAUAGAUAACAGAGAUGUGGUAUGCAAUUUGAGUUAUGAUGGGUAACCUGCUAAUAAAGGGAAUAAAUUGAGUUUUGCCAUGAGCUAAUGUGGGCCAAUAAUACCAAACUUAAUCUUUUUUUUUUUUUUUUUGCAUUAUUUGUCAAUUUUUAUAUGAGUUGUCACACAAAACUCUGGGUUUUUACCUUCUCUUGAAAAAAUCUAAAGAUUAAAAGAAUCUCAUAAUUAGCAGUCUGUGACUUCUGUUCAAAGGCUCUUAUAAAAGGUGAUUGAAAAGAGAGAGACAAGCAAAAUUAAAUGUAGCAGUUGGAGAGAAGUGGAAAAUCCAGUAUACCUGUUUUGAAGUACAGGUUGAAGAUCACGAG
rnacentral:lncRNA from 1 species